rnacentral:rRNA from 1 species
GAUGGACCCGCGGUGCAUUAGCUAGUUGGUGAGGUAACGGCUCACCAAGGCGACGAUGCAUAGCCGACCUGAGAGGGUGAUCGGCCACAUUGGGACUGAGACACGGCCCAAACUCCUACGGGAGGCAGCAGUAGGGAAUCUUCGGCAAUGGACGAAAGUCUGACCGAGCAACGCCGCGUGAGUGAAGAAGGUUUUCGGAUCGUAAAACUCUGUUGUUAGAGAAGAACAAGGAUGAGAGUAACUGUUCAUCCCUUGACGGUAUCUAACCAGAAAGCCACGGCUAACUACGUGCCAGCAGCCGCGGUAAUACGUAGGUGGCAAGCGUUGUCCGGAUUUAUUGGGCGUAAAGCGAGCGCAGGCGGUUUCUUAAGUCUGAUGUGAAAGCCCCCGGCUCAACCGGGGAGGGUCAUUGGAAACUGGGAGACUUGAGUGCAGAAGAGGAGAGUGGAAUUCCAUGUGUAGCGGUGAAAUGCGUAGAUAUAUGGAGGAACACCAGUGGCGAAGGCGGCUCUCUGGUCUGUAACUGACGCUGAGGCUCGAAAGCGUGGGGAGCAAACAGGAUUAGAUACCCUGGUAGUCCACGCCGUAAACGAUGAGUGCUAAGUGUUGGAGGGUUUCCGCCCU